ACUUGAAACUCUUGGACUUCUCUUGUACACAAGUCUGCUCUCUAAGAGCUUUAUAGGGUUUCGAACGUUCCAUGAGUUAGCUGAUCACCCCUACAUUCCAGAAUGGUUCGCACGACCGGUUUUUUAAAGUAAUUUUGAUUGAAAUUCCGAAGAAGUCGAGGUUUGAGUAGUUUACAGACAGACAUACAGAUACCGGUAGAUGGGCGCCAUCAGUCAAGAUAUCACGAGCCUAAAGCUCAGGUAAGCUAAAAACCUACUGAUGUUACAUGUUACUAAUUCCUCAAUUUCAAUCUAUCAAAGUGAUGUUUCAUAACGAAUCAUUCAAUGGGCACACCUGACAUAAUAGCUCCUCCAACUCGUUGGUUAAUGGUAGAUAGUUUGUCUUUCCUUAUUGAAUUCUAUAUAUAUUAUCUUAUGCUUCGUUUUACUUGAAAGAUUAUUACGUGGUUACUUAUUUUUUUCAAGUCUAUACAUUAAAUAA